UACGUAGGGGGCUAGCGUUACUCGGAUUGACUGGGCGUAAAGGGCGCGUAGGCGGCUUGUACAGUCAGACGUGAAAUUCCUGGGCUCAACCUGGGGGCUGCGUUUGAUACGUGCGGGCUUGAGUUCGGAAGAGGGUCGUGGAAUUCCCAGUGUAGAGGUGAAAUUCGUAGAUAUUGGGAAGAACACCGGUGGCGAAGGCGGCGACCUGGUCCGAUACUGACGCUGAGGCGCGAAAGCGUGGGGAGCAAACAGG
rnacentral:rRNA from 1 species